rnacentral:rRNA from 1 species
CGUGCCUAAUACAUGCAAGUUGAACGCAACAAAGACACCAGAGCUUGCUCUACCGUCUUUGUUGAGUAGCGAACGGGUGAGUAACGCGUGGGUAACCUGCCUUAUAGCGGGGGAUAACUAUUGGAAACGAUAGCUAAUACCGCAUAACAAUAGAGAUUGCAUAAUCUUUAUUUGAAAGUACCAACUGGUACACUAUGAGAUGGACCCGCGUUGUAUUAGCUAGUUGGUAGUGUAAUGGACUACCAAGGCGAUGAUACAUAGCCGACCUGAGAGGGUGAUCGGCCACAUUGGGACUGAGACACGGCCCAAACUCCUACGGGAGGCAGCAGUAGGGAAUCUUCGGCAAUGGACGAAAGUCUGACCGAGCAACGCCGCGUGAGUGAAGAAGGUUUUCGGAUCGUAAAACUCUGUUGUUAGAGAAGAAUGUUGAUUAGAGUGGAAAAUUAAUCAAGUGACGGUAUCUAACCAGAAAGGGACGGCUAACUACGUG